GUAGGUGAACCUGCGGAGGGAUCAUUACACAAUAAAAUACGAAGGCCGUUCGCGGCUGGACUAUUUAUUACCCUUGUCUUUUGCGCACUUGUUGUUUCCUGGGCGGGUUCGCUCGCCACCAGGACCACAAUAUAAACCUUUUUUAUGCAGUUGCAAUCAGCGUCAGUAUAACAAAUGUAAAUCAUUUACAACUUUCAACAACGGAUCUCUUGGUUCUG
rnacentral:misc_RNA from 1 species